rnacentral:tRNA from 1 species
AAGUGCCUCAAUGAGUCAGUGUGUCUGGCUCUUAACCAGAAGGUUGGUGGUUCAAGCCCACCCAGGGAUA